rnacentral:rRNA from 1 species
CGCGUAGGCGGUCUUUUAAGUCAGGUGUGAAAGCCCGGGGCUCAACCCCGGAAGUGCACUUGAAACUAAGAGACUUGAGUAUGGGAGAGGGAAGUGGAAUUCCUGGUGUAGCGGUGAAAUGCGUAGAUAUCAGGAAGAACAUCAGUGGCGAAGGCGACUUCCUGGACCAAUACUGACGCUGAGGCGCGAAGGCGUGGGGAGCAAACA